rnacentral:rRNA from 1 species
GAUGAACGCUGGCGGCGUGCCUAAUACAUGCAAGUCGAGCGAAUGGAUUGAGAGCUUGCUCUUAUGAAGUUAGCGGCGGACGGGUGAGUAACACGUGGGUAACCUGCCCAUAAGACUGGGAUAACUCCGGGAAACCGAGGCUAAUACCGGAUAACAUUUUGAACCGCAUGGUCCGAAAUUGAAAGGCGGCUUCGGCUGUCACUUAUGGAUGGACCCGCGUCGCAUUAGCUAGUUGGUGAGGUAACGGCUCACCAAGGCAACGAUGCGUAGCCGACCGGGGAGGGUGAUCGGCCACACUGGGACUGAGACCCCGCCCAGACUCCUACGGGGGGCAGCAGCUGGGAAUCUUCCGCAAUGGACGAAAGGCUGACGGAGCAACGCCGCGUGAGUGAUGAGGGCUUUCGGGUCGUAAGACUCUGUUGUUAGGGAAGAACAAGUGCUAGUUGAAUAAGCUGGCACCUUGACGGUACCUAACCAGAAAGCCACGGCUAACUACGUGCCAGCCGCCGCUGUAA